rnacentral:rRNA from 1 species
CAAUAGCGUAUACUAAAGUUGUUGCAGUUAAAAAGCUCGUAGUUGGAUUUCUGGUCGAAGCAGCCGCUCGGCUUCUAGUAAGUUUGUAGCAGGCGCUUCGUCCAUUUUUGUAAAGACUAUGUCUGUCAUUAAGUUGGUGGACAUAGGACUUGCAUCAUUUACUGUGAGCAAAAUAGAGUGUUCAAAGCAGGCUUAGGCCAUGAAUAUCUUAGCAUGGAAUAAUAAGAUAAGACCUUGGUCUAUUUUGUUGGUUAGCAUUCCGAGGUAAUGAUUAAUAGGGAUAGUUGGGGGUAUUCGUAUUCAAUUGUCAGAGGUGAAAUUCUUGGAUUUAUUGAAGACGAACUACUGCGAAAGCAUUUACCAAGGAUGUUUUCAUUGA